ensembl:lncRNA
GAAGAAUGCCACACAGCAGGAAGAAGAGAGCAGGGCAGGAGCUGGUAUGCCUGCGUGGUAUGGGGGAAGCGACGGCUUUCCUGUGGGCUCUCCUGGCUACGCUCCUUGCCAGCGGAAGGCUCGUGCUGAAGAGGGGCUGUGUUACACCUGUAUGCAGACAGCAAGCCAGCCACCCAUCUUGCAACGUGUGCACAUCGGGGCUUAUCGGGUAUUUUUUGGAGAGUAUCUGAAGUUUUUCAUCCUUGCUUUGCAGCAGCAACAAGAAACCUAGCGUGAAUGAGACUUAAGCGUAAGUGCCAGCACACGCAACGUGCGUCUGACUGCGUUGGGCACUUUGGACCAGAAGACGUGAGAAGUUAAUGGUUAUUGUACGACCACAGGAUGGCGUAUCGUGGCUUGCAAAGCACGGCAUGGUAUUUAAUGAGCAGCAGUUAUUUCAGCUGAAGUGCGUCUAAGUUGAGUUCACCCUGCAACCCCUGUUGCUGGAAGUUUCUAUUGUUUUCUUUCUUUUCACUCAAAUGUAACCUCCUCCUUUCAGUGUACACGAUAGUUUUCCAGAGUCAGGUUUGGACUUCAUUGUACCAAUAACAUUAAAACUGAUAAAAAUGAAGAGAUGGAGCUCUGAUUAUGAGAAAGACACAUUCUCAUACUAGAGGAGAGACUUUGAUCAAAUUUACUGACAACCUGAAAUGAAUGAAAGACCCUACUCACAGCAAGAGAGCUUUUCUAGGAGUAUAUUGCAUAUUGGCUGUUUUCCCAGCCCUGGGAAGUCUUUCAGAAGCAUGCUGUGGCACAUUUCAGUUAGUUUUAGUGAAUUGCAGUGUACAAGCUGGGUUCUUUCUCCUGAAGUGCUGAUGCUGCAGCAUUCCCGUCAGACCGCAGGCAGCAAGCAUCUUUCUGUUAUUUCUCUAUGUGGGCACAUACAAACCUGGGUCUUGGAGAAUUUACAGCAGCUUCAGCUUUGUAACCUACAGUGCAAAGGGGAAUGUCUGCCCGCACGGAGCGAGCGUCCGACCAUGCAGCUGUGCUCUGGUGCUGUGUCCAGGUUAACUUCACAUGGCAGCCACCGAAAGCGUGCACUGAAGAACGUGCCCAGAGGAAGUUUCUCCACGCUGGUGGCUCACCGGGCCGGGCAGGAAGCAGCAGGUCGCAGUUAG